rnacentral:lncRNA from 1 species
CUUGAUGUUAGGAAAUUGAAGAUGCUACAAAACAUAAAAAUUUGCAAUUUAUGAGACAUGAAACACACUCAUAGCCGCUUUGAAAGUUUAGAUUUCCUCACAAAUGGCGCUUUUUCACAACUAAAUUUGAUUUAACUGGUGAAAGGGGCGUUUCGCGCGGAACGCUUAAUUAUUAAUCAGCGUGAUUGAUGGGUCCACCAUAGUUUAGCAGUAGCAGCACUUCAAACCUGUCAAAUGAAGCAUUACUGCCUUCACCUUUAACGCGCACUUAAUUUGAAUAGUUUCAAUAUUGAUCUCAUAUGAGGUUGGUUUCCAAACGCAAGCUCCGUCAUCUGGGAAGAACUGCCACGCAAAUAUAUUAUUCCUUUAUUUUAAACAGCUUUCUCCGUGGGAAGUUCCAAUGAGUGAAUUUCUAAACCACUAGGGAAAAAAUGACAAUCAGAAGGAGUAGUGGAUAGAAGUUUGUGUGUAAUAUACUUCAAAAAAUUCGAAUUGACUCGGUUCUGGUAAAACAUGUAUUUGAUCCUGAUAGAAAAGACUAGAAAUAAUUUUCCCACUUCGAAGAGAAUAAUUUCUUAUUACGUACAGGAGAAAGAAUUAUAGUUUAGAGAAUGAAGUGAGGUUAAAGUCGUGCAAAUAUACUGUCGGUAAAAUACCCGUGUGCUUCGCGUGAUCAAUCGAACCUCGAAAGACCAUUCGUCCCUGUGAAUUUUACAGAGAAGAUGCCUCUCGAGAUCGUGGAGCAGUUCAACCUAUUCUCCUCUCCAUUUGGUUUAUUCGUGUCGGUGAAGAAUAAGAAGAUGAAUAAUUUACUGUUCUUCGUUUCUGUGUUGAUUUUCGUGUCCCAUCCAUGUUGUUUCGUUUACGUAAUGAUCGAAUUGCAUGUCACGAAAAAUUCGGACAUCAUCGAUACCAAAUUAUUCGGAUAUUAUGUUUAUCAAACAUUCUUAAACGUGACUGUGCUGGUGACAAUUUUCGAAAAUUUGACAGAAAGUGGCGAGAAAAAGGCCAUGUUCAACGAGAUAAAACUUUUAAGUCGCUGUUUAGAGAAGUAUUGUGAGAAGAGCCACAGGACUAAAAUGCACGAGCACCGUUCUGGAUUCCCUCUUGUGAUUAUAGAAAUAGUAACUCUUACUGUGCUAUUAAUAGACAUGCUAGUCACGGCGUUCUACUACAAGUCGAAGCAUAUAUUUCACUACAUCAUUUUGAUCACCAUUCCUAAUGCUUUCCUCGCAAUGGCAGAAACGCGACUUUUCCUGGUUUUGAAAGUCAUGCAAAAUAGAUACGCACGGAUCAACGACUGCCUCAUGGCAAUUUACAAGCAAGAAAAACGCGUUUGGGAAACUGGAGAGGUUUUCGUUUCGAUUGAUCUUGGUAGAGAUGGGUAUUCCCUCACGCAGUCUCAGAUAAUGAAAAUACACAGUAGAUUAACUCGGCUAACUGCCAACCUGUGUCACACAUUUUCUUUACAGAUCGCCUGCGAAAUAGUGAAUUUUUUCAUUGGUCUCGUCAUUAACAUUUUUUUCCUCGUGAAUUUUUCCACGAAGAAGGUCACCUUCACGAACCCACAAUUUGUGUUCACCAAGCUUCUCAAUUCUUACUGGGCUGUGUUUUUCUUGUGCAAAUUAUGGUUCAUAAUUUACAACUUCGUUGCGACUCAGAAAAAGGGUAAUUGGCCUGUACAGUUCAUUCAGAAGUUAAUGAAUAGAACAAAUGAUGACAGACUCAAGAUUCAGUUACAUAUGUUCCUAAAUCAACUAAUCCAUGAUAGUGUCAAGCUCAGUAUACUUGGAUUUCUCCCUCUCGACUUUUCAAUCUUUUAUAGGGUAAGUUACAAAACAUUUAAUAUGUGUGCGGUAAUGGUAAAUCAUUAAAUGCUCGAUUUACUGUAAGAUCUCCCUCCGGAAGGAAGCAAUUAAAAACACCUAAAAAUAUUACUUACUUUUUAUCUGCAGAAUGUCCCAUUCACAAUUCUUUCUUCAAAACAAAAGUGUCUUCAUGGCCUCUCAGUUCUGAACGCAUCUGUUCUGUUUUAAUUACUGCGCAACUCAGAAAAGAAAAAAAAAAUAAGAAGACCACAUAUUGAAACUGUUGAUUUUGAAAACCUUCCAAUUCCGCAAAUGACACAAAUGACGCAGCACAGAACAGGUACCUACAUGCGUGGGAAAUUUUUUUAACUAGAGGCACAAUACUUUUCCUUAGGGGGGAGGGGUGGUUUGCAAACAGUUUGAAUCGUUGAUGAUCACUUAAAAAGUACUAAGAUUACGUAUUAAUUUUCUUGGUUCCUGUUUUUUCAAGAUCCUAAUUGCCACGUGCUCGUAUUGUUUAAUUUUUCUUCAAUUUCGGAUUGCUGAACUGCUGGACGAAUGAGGCAAAGUUAGCUAAGAGAUAAAAGGUGGAUUGUGAAAACUACGUCCACAUAAUAAGGAAGAAACAAAAUACUUGUGGCCCUCUUGGGGUAGUCUCCAGCAGAUGAGUGAACAAUAAAGCCAAGGUAGUAUAAUUUUUCUCCUCGAUCUAUCCACUUUAAGAAUUUUUACUUUGCCGUACGCCGAAGAGCACUUCGGUGUGGACUUUUUUUGCAAUUGAGCUUUGACAAAAAUUACUCUUCUCACAUGAUGAAUUCUAAAUUGCGGUCUUGUUGUUUUGCAAGACACAGAGGAGAAAUUUUAAUUAUUAUUCUAGACUACUAUAGUCCUAAAGAAUUAGAUGCAAAUGGACCACUAGACAAGCAGGUACGAACUUAAGCAUUCUGAUCAUGGGCGUAGCUAGGGGGGUCCAGGGGGGGGGGCCGGCCCCCCCAGAAAUCCCGUGCCCCCUUAGAAACACGGGAUCCUCCAUUCCUCACCCCCCCCUGCUCUCUUCACCACGAGAGGUGGUCCCAUGCCCCCCCCCCCCCCCCCCCGAGAAAUUUCCUAGCUACGCCCCUGAUUCUGAUCAAUGUUUCUAAACCAAAUUUUAACAGAGAACACGAUUCUUGCAUCGAAAAUUACUGAAAUCAACUCCUAACUAAGGUAUUGACGCUUUCAUUUUACAUUGGUCACGAGAAUUAUGAAUUGCCCGGUUACAAGAAACGCAAUUCUCUUCGUGAGUAAAAUCGCGCCUCACAAAGGUUUUGGUAGGCUUCUCUAUCAAGCAUUAUUCCUUUCUCACCUUUAUCGUUUAAAUAGUAAACAAUUUGCUAUAGCUGAGCCAAAGCGUCAAGGUUCAGGUUGCCGGAAUUUCAUACCGCAGAGAUUGUCAUGGUAAAGUUUAGUGUGCGAUUUGAUUCACGUAUAGACUAUUGUGUCCAGACCAGCGGG